rnacentral:rRNA from 1 species
ACGAACGCUGGCGGCGUGCCUAAACUAUGCGAGUCGCGCGGGGUUUUAUUGCAAACCGCAAGGGGAGUGAUAAAACCUAGCGGCGAACGGGUGAGUAACGCGUGAGUAACCUACCCCCGGGACCGGGAUAACUCCGAGAAAUCGGGGCUAAUACCAGAUAGGAAGCUGGAGUGCAUGCUUCGGCUUGGAAAGGAGCAAUCCACCCAGGGAGGGGCUCGCGUCCUAUCAGCUUGUUGGUGGGGUAACGGCCUACCAAGGCUGCGACGGGUAGCCGGUCUGAGAGGAUGGCCGGCCACACUGGGACUGAGACACGGCCCAGACUCCUACGGGAGGUAGCAAGUGGGAAUCUUGCACAAUGGACGAAAGUCUGAUGCAGCGACGCCGCGUGAGGGAUGAAGGCUCUCGGGUCGUAAACCUCUGUUGACAGGGAAGAAUAACUGACGGUACCUGUCGAGGAAGCCUCGGCUAACUCCGU